UGAAGCCUGCCUCGCUCACCUCUCACCCUCCACCACCCGCCCAGCUCCUGCUCUGCAGCACAGGGCUGCUUGGGAGGGUUUGCUGCCCUGCCGGUGCCCAGCAGCUGGGUGAACUCUGCUCACGCGUGUUUCCCAAAAAGCCCUGGAGGAAAUCCGGGUCUUCCACGGUGGUGUGGGGUUUUGACCUCAACAACAAGGCCCUGGUGGUGGAAAUAAUAACAACCCAGGGAAAACAGAGGGACAAAAUGGCUAAAGGAGACAGCACAAAAGCACAGUCCGGGAAAGUGAAUCAGCCCAGACUCUCCCACUUGGAAACAGACAGUGUGUGUUUGGCGUGAUGACUGAUUCUCCUCUUACUCGCUGUCAUGAAAACAAAGCAACCAUAGGGGCCAUGGCAGAUUGGACAAGAGGAAUUAAGGAAUCCAUGGACUGGCAGGAUGCAUCUGUGAAGAUACACUGGGUCCUCAUGAGGACCUGCCCACACCAACUCCCAGACCACCUCCUACCUCCACCUGCAGGGUGGCAAAAUGGCCUCCACAAGAAGUAGCUCAAUGGGGCUCUGUCCUCUCCUUGCCAAUACCAGGAUGAAGAAGCAGCUAGCUCUUGGAACCCAGUCACUAUGCUAUGAGGAAUCCAGGCCACAUGGAAAGGCCCACGUGGACAGGAACCAAGGAACCCAGCUGACAGCCAGCACUAGUCAGCCCACUGCAUGAGUGAGCCCUUGUGUAAGUAGAUCCUCUAGUCUUGGGCUGAGCUCCUCCAACUUAUGUGGGGUAGAACAAAGAUGAGCCUUCCCUGCCAAGCCCUGCCCAAAAUAAAUGACAGUUACUGUUUUAAGCCA